rnacentral:rRNA from 1 species
CACCAGCCGCGGUAAUACCGGCGGCCCGAGUGGCGGUCACUAUUAUUGGGCUUAAAGCGUCCGUAGCCGGGUUGGGAAGUCCUCCGGGAAAUCUGGCCGCUUAACGGUCAGAAUGCCGGAGGAUACUCCCAGCCUAGGGAGCGGGGGAGGCCGAGGGGAUUCCCGGGGUAGGGGGGAAAUCCUAUAAUCCCGGGAGGACCACCUGUGGCGAAGGCGCUCGGCUGGAACGCGUCCGACGGUGAGGGACGAAGGCCAGGGGAGCAAACCGGAUUAGAUACCCGGGUAGUCCUGGCUGUAAACGAUGCGGACUUUGUGUCGGACAAGCUAUGAGCUUGUCCGGUGCCGGAGGGAAACCGUUAAGUCCGCCGCCUGGGGAGUACGGCCGCAAGGCUGAAACUUAAAGGAAUUGGCGGG